AUUGAACGCUGGCGGCAGGCCUAACACAUGCAAGUCGAACGAGUGGCGGACGGGAGAGUAAUGUCUGGGAAACUGCCUGAUGGGGGGGGAAAACUACGGGAAAGGGGAGCUAAUCGCGCAAACCAUCAGAUGUGCCCAGAGGGGUUUAGCUAGUUGGUGGGGUAACGGGUCACCAAGGCGACGAUCCCUAGCUGGUCUGAGAGGAUGAACAGCCACACUGGAACUGAGACACGGUCCAGACUCCUACGGGAGGCAGCAGUGGGGAAUAUUGCACAAUGGGCGCAAGCCUGAUGCAGCCAUGCCGCGUGUAUGAAGAAGGCCUUCGGGUUGUAAAGUACUUUCAGCGGGGAGGCGUUACCCGCAGAAGAAGCACCGGCUAACUCCGUGCCAGCCGCCGCGGUAAUAC
rnacentral:rRNA from 1 species